AGAGCGAACGCUGGCGGCAGGCCUAACACAUGCAAGUCGAGCGCCGUAGCAAUACGGAGCGGCAGACGGGAGAGUAACACGUGGGAACGUACCCUUUGGUUCGGAACAACCCAGGGAAACUUGGGCUAAUACCGAAUAAGCCCUUACGGGGAAAGAUUUAUCGCCGAAGGAUCGGCCCGCGUCUGAUUAGCUAGUUGGUGGGGUAACGGCCCACCAAGGCGACGAUCAGUAGCUGGUCUGAGAGGAUGAUCAGCCUCAUUGGGACUGAGACACGGCCCAAACUCCUACGGGAGGCAGCAGUGGGGAAUAUUGGACAAUGGGCGCAAGCCUGAUCCAGCCAUGCCGCGUGGGUGAUGAAGGCCCUAGGGUUGUAAAGCCCUUUCGGCGGGGAAGAUAAUGACGGUACCCGCAGAAGAAGCCCCGGCUAACUUCGUGCCAGCAGCCGC
rnacentral:rRNA from 1 species